AUACGAGGGGUGCAAGCGUUAUUCGGAAUUACUGGGCGUAAAGGGUGUGUAGGCGGUAUAUUAAGUCUGUUGUUAAAUCUUCCGGCCUAACCGGAAAACUGCAGUGGAAACGGAUAUGCUAGAGGAUGCGAGAGAGAAGUGGAAUUCCCGGAGUAGCGGUAAAAUGCGUGGAUCUCGGGAGGAACACCGAUGGCGAAGGCAGCUUCUUGGCUCAUUCCUGACGCUGAGACACGAAAGCGUGGGGAGCAAACAGAAUUAGAAACCCCAGUAGUCC
rnacentral:rRNA from 1 species